rnacentral:lncRNA from 1 species
AUUUGAGGCAGAUCAAUAUUUAAUACUGAACACUAACUUAUGUUCUUAUUUGUUUAGAAUCUCUGCUUUCAAGAGGAGAGUUGGCCCUGAGAUCCAUUUCAAAGAGACUGAGAAGUUUCAAGAUCUGAAGUCAAGAAGCUGGAGAUCCAGGAGAGCUGAUUUCAGUCCAGUAGUUCCAGUCCAAGUCUGAAAGCCUAUGAGAAGAUCUGAUGGUGUAAGUUCCAGUUCAAAAGUUGUCAGACUGGGAAGCCAAGAAGAGCCAAUUUUUCAUUUCAAGGGUUCAAGUGAUCCUUCCACCUCACCCUCCUGAAUGGCUGUGAGUACAGGCACUCACCACCACUUCUGGCUUUAUUUUUAUUUUUGGUAACAACGGGGUUUCACCAUGUUGCCCAGGCUGGUCUCAAAUUCCUGAGCUCAAGCAAUCUGCCCACCUUGGCCUCCCAAAAUGCUGGGAUUACAGGUGAGCCAUCGCUCCUAGCCUUCUUUGAUUCUUUUAAGAAAAUGAGUUUAGCAAUUAGAAUUGUUAUGAAUAGACUAAUUCGUUACUGGAAAUGCUGUUACUGGAAUUGGAAGUUGUAG